rnacentral:misc_RNA from 1 species
AAAAAAUCAUUUUUUUUUACCAAUCGCUAAUUUUUAGGCUUAUAUAUGAAUACCCUUUUCCCUUUUACCUGAAUAAACUCAUACCGCCGGCGGCAAAAAGACUAGUAUAGUGUUAGAAAAAAAAAUGACACAGCUUGAGUGUAUUCUUUCUGCCGGAGAAGAUGUUGACAGAACUGUUGUUGUUGGAAUGAAGCUUGAUGGUGCAAGUAGAGAGCUUUUAACAUGGGCUCUUGUUAAAGUUGCUCAACCUGGUGAUCGAGUUAUUGCUCUUCAUGUUUUGAAUAAUAAUGAAAUUGUAGAUCGUGAUGGGAAAUCCUCAUUGUUGUCGUUGGUCAAAGCAUUUGAUUCAGUUCUUGCAGUUUAUGAAGGUUUCUGUAAUCUCAAGCAGGUGGAUCUUAAGUUAAAGAUAUGUAGAGGUACAUCAAUCCGAAAAAUUAUUGUUCGUGAGGCGAAUGCUUACUUAGCAACUGAUGUUAUAGUUGGUACUGCUAAUCAUACUAUACGAUCAUCAGCUUCAGUUGCAAAGUACUGUGCUAGAAAGUUGCCUAAAGAUUGUUCGGUAUUGGCUGUUAAUAAUGGGAAGGUUGUUUUUCAAAGGGAGGCUUCGUUAGCAUCGUAUGCCAGUUCAAAAGAACUUGAGCAUCACCAUGGGAAUCGUUUGCUUAGUGUAAUUCAGCGGACGCUGACUAAGAACUCGAAAGUAUUAAAUGACAGCACUGGGCUGAGGCCAACAAAUUCCUGCAGGGAAGGUGGUUAUCAGACUCUGGGUGAGGCAUUACUGAAAGCUGCUUCUGCAUCAGCCGACAAUUCCCUUAGACAGAACUGUUCAGUUUGUUCACCCAACUGCCUGUUGCCUGAUAAUUCUUGCACCCAAACACACGAAGAGCCUUCAGACAGUAAUCAUGAUGAUAAUUCAUUGGCGAUAGUACCUGUGCAAAGCCAGGAAUCAGGAUCUAGUUCGAUUACGUUGCUAGUAAAGGAUUUGCCUGAAGUGAGGCCUGGUUGGCCAUUGCUUCACCGAGCCAUUUUAUCAAAUCAACAAACUGCAGACACUUUGUCAAUAAGAAAACUCUCAGUUGUCCAGUGGGCAUUGUGUCUGCCGACUAGACAUCUUUUGUGCAUUGAGGAUGCAGACAGGAGAGAUCUACACUCUGCUGCUGAUGAAAGUCAAGCUCCUGCACUAGACGAAAAAAGUGGUGCAAUUGUUCCUGUCAAUCACGAGACAACGUCCUCAAAAUCUUCUCCAGAAAAUUCUCCAAGAGCCUUACCAAGAGAACUGGAUGGACUUCAUGUGAAGUACUCUGCAACGUGUAGGUUGUUUAAAUUCCAGGAACUUCUCUUGGCAACCUUGAACUUUUCCUCAGAGAACAUUAUUGGUAAAGGAGGAAGCAGUCAGGUUUUCAAAGGCUGUCUUCCUGAUGGCAAAGAACUUGCUGUGAAGAUCUUAAAACAAUCCGAAGAUGCAGUGCGAGAGUUUGUUUUGGAAAUUGAGAUUAUUACUGCUUUGAGUCACAAAAACAUAAUCUCCCUAUUUGGAUUCUGUUUUGAGGACAACCACCUUCUCCUUGUAUAUGAUUUUCUAUCUAGGGGAAGCCUCGAAGAGAAUCUACAUGGUAAUAAUAAGAAUCCACUCGCGUUUGGGUGGAAAGAGAGAUACAAAGUUGCUGUUGGUGUUGCCGAGGCACUAGAAUAUCUUCAUGGCAGAGAUGAUCAACCAGUGAUCCACCGUGAUGUAAAAUCGUCAAAUAUACUACUGUGUGAUGAUUUUGAGCCUCAGCUCUCUGAUUUUGGACUUGCU